GAAAAUAUUGUGAUUAUUGACUGAGUAUUCAUAGUAAUCCUAUACAACAUAACCAGUUGUAAACAAUGAGAAUCAAACAUAAAUUAGAGUGUAAGGUACAGGAAAGAGUAAAAAUCAAAAUAAAAAAAAAGGAAAAAAACUUGAAAAUGACUCAGACUUGGCAAAUAAAUAUAUGUGUAUUAUGCAAAACCACAAUAUUUUUCUAGUUAUUUCAGUAUGCCAAAAUACAGUGAAUUAGGUUUUAUGGAAGUUAUUUAGUAGUUCAGCUUUCUUUUACUAUUUUUUUCCUCAGGUUUUUUGUUUGUCUUUUUUGAGAUAGAAUCUUUGUAGUUCAAAAUGGCCUUGAACUCGCUAUGUACCCCAGGCUGGCCUUGAACAUGUGAAGAUCUUACUGCCUCGGCCUUCCUAGUGCUGGGGUCACAGGUGUGCAGCACCAGGCCAGGCUUCUACUUUUCAGCAGGCACUUGUGCCGCUGAGCUACGUCCCUGGCCCAGUGCUACUAUUCUUUUAUUUAUUUAUUUUGGUACCAAGGCUCGAACUCACAACCUUGCACAAACUUGCACUUGCCAGGCAGGCACUUAUGCCACUGAGCUAAACCUCGAGCCCUUCUACUAUUGAUGCUUGUAUUUGUUUAGUUUUGUUUGGUUGCUUGUGAUGCUGGAGUUUGAACUCCAGAGUCUUUGCACUGAGCUACAUCCCUCGUCCUGGUUAUCUUACCGUUUUAAUUUCACCAAACAAGAUCUUCCUGUCACUAAAUUGUCUACGCUGGGCUUGAAAUUGAGGACUUUCUGCCUCGGUCUCCCUAAGUACUAGGAUUACAGACAUGUGCCAGCACACCCACCUCAAUACUUUGUUUUUUAAAAAGUGAAUCUGACAGCCCUGUCUGGUGGCUUAUGCCUGUGGUCCCAGCUACUUGGGCAAUUGAGGUGAGAGGAUCACUUGAGCCUAGAUCAGUUGAGACCACCCUGGGCAACAUAGCAAGAUCCUGACUCCAAAAAAAAAAAAAAAAAUGCUGGGCAUGGUGAUGCACAUCUAUAAUCCCAGCUCUCAGGAGUGAGGCGGAGGCAGGAAGACUGUCUUGAGUUUAAGGCCAUCCUGGGCUGGACAGUGAGUUCCAGAUGAGCAUAAACUAUACAGUGAGACCCUGCCUCAAACAAACAGACAAAUAACAGCAACAAAAAUUUGAAUUUUAUGCUCCUGUCUUUGUCAAUGGUGCCCUUUGAGAGCCCUUAAAUCCCUCUGAGCUAAUAUUACUGGCUUCUCUCGGUCACCAUUCAGGUCUGGUGAGCAAGGCAGGGGCCUCGCAGCUGCUGUUCUGCUCACUCCUAUUGUAUCCAGAGAACAACAAAUCCUGCUAGUGAAGGCAUAAUACUCCCACUGUUGGCGUAGCAGCUAAAAAUGGGGCUGUGACUUGGAGAACAGUUUCUGAGCCUUUCCUUUGGUUCCAUUAUCUGGGCCUCCAGAAGAGGAAUCUCAUGUCUAUUACAGCACAGAACCAUACAUAUAGCCAUGCAGGAUACGAAUGAAUCUUUAAAACAGGAACCAUUAUUUGCUUUUUUGAAACAGGAUCUCACUACGCAGCCCAGGCUGGUCUUGAACUCAUGAUUCUCUGUCUCAGUGUGGUUAAUGGGCCAUAGUUACGUGGCAGAGGGAACCCCAUUCUCUGCAGGCUGGGGUAGGAUGAGGGCUACAGAAUCUUAGUACUCUGCAAAAGCACAGCAGAGCUCAAAUGUCUGAGGAGUCCAGCUCCCAGGCUGCCAUAGUGGGAGGGCUAUCAUUCAAUCAGAAUAAUUAACGAUCAUUGUCAGUUAAGUGUACAAAAACGAUUCCACUAUUUCUGUAUCCUUAUGUUCUUGAUAUAUGUGAUUUUCACAUACCUCAUCCAGGUCUUUGGUCUGUCACAGGCCCCAGCACGUAUGCCUGGCAAUUAUAUUAUACUCGUGUCAACAAUAGUGUUUUCCCUUUGAAGUACCUGGUGGCACAGAGAGACACCCACUGGAGGGACCCUUUUCGCAAUGUUGUGCUCAAGAGUUUGCACCCUUGUGUUUUCUCCUGCAGCACAUUCUGUUGGCCUUCGGUCCCCAGAGACAGAAUAAUGAGCCUGGGCACAUCUCUGGGGAAUUGAUCUUGUCUCAUCUCUUGCUUGAUCUGCUUCAUGCCAACCUUGUGUCCUGUUAAUAGAGGUCAUGCAUUGGCAUUUGCGAUGUGUGCACAGUGACACUUCCUAGAUGCCGGUCAGGAAAAGUUAGAGGCUUGAGCCAAUGAGAAGAAGGAAGGUUGUAUACAGGGGUGUUGGGAGCAGGAGUCCAAAGCAAUUUUGCUACAAGUAAGAUCCUGUAAACAUUCAGAGAAGCAGCUCCCCAGCUGUGAUCUCAGAUUGUCUCAUCCAUGGCUCUUUGAUUUUAAUGUUCAGCUGGACAGUUUUCCCUUGUUGUUUUUAUUAUUUUUUCCAAGUGUCUCAUCUCUCCUCUGCCAAGGCUCCCUUGCUGAGUUCCAUUGUUUAUUUCACACCUCCUGCCCUGAGCCAUUCAGCUUCCUCUGAGUUCCCCCUGCAUCCUCAAGUCCUGAAAGUUCCCCAGAGCUAAUCUGCAUUCAGAGCUUGCACAAAUCUCCGUGUAUUUAUACACAGAGGAGCUGGGAGCAUGCCUGUAACCCCAGGACUUGGAAGUCUGAGGCAGAAUUGUUUGUUCAGACAGCGAAGGCUGUAUAGAAAAUUUGAGACCAGCCUGAAAUAUAGAGAGACCUUGUCUCAAAAAAAAAAAAACCAAAAUAAAAUGAAAGGGGUGAAUGCAUGGAAAAGGAAGGAAGGAAGGGAAAGAAAGGGACUCAAACAUUAAAGAUAGCAAUUUGUCAUCUGGUUUCACAUUCAUCUAGUUUCUUUCAUUGAUCAUUUCUGAGUGAUUUUGUUCUUCUCUAAGUUUUUUGCUUAAGGGUAUGUAGCAAUUCCUUAAAAAAUUUACCAGGCAUGGUGGCACAGGAAUGUAAUCCAAGCACUUGGGAUGCUGAGGUGGGAAAAUUGCAGCGAGUUUGAGGUCACCCUGAACUCCUCAGUGAGUUCAAGGCCAGCCUGGGCUGCACAGUGAAACCCUGCCUCAAAAUGAACAAAUGAAAACAAACAAGCCAAGCAAACAAACAAACAAAAAUCCCAAAAUUAAAAAUAUAAUUAUCCUGUGCUCCAACAAUUCCACUUCAGGGUGUACAUCUGAAAGAAUUAAAGUAGAGAGAUACCUGUAUAUCCAGAUUAAUAGCAAUAUUAUUCACAAUAAGAGAGGAGAAAGACAAGUAUUCAUGGAUGGGUCCCAUUCCACACAAUGGAAUACGACCCAGCCUUCAAAGGCAAGGAUAUCCUGACAUAUGCCACAACUUGAUGAAACUUAAAGACAGAAUGCUAGGUGGAAAUGGUCACAAAGAGACAACAAAUACUGUAUGUUCCCUGGACAUGAGGUUCUUAAAGUCAGAUGCAUAAAGAGAUUGUGGAAUGGUAUUGGCAGGGGCUGGAGAGAGACGCGAAAAGGAAGUUACUGCCUAAUGGCUGCAGAGAUUCUGUCCUGCAACGUAAAAAGAAUUCUGUUCUGUACACUUAGAAGUGAUUAAGAUGGCAUUCAUCAUAAGAAGCAUCAACUGGGGGCACCGGCCCAAACAAACAGGAGAGCUGGUGAUGUUCUGGGGCAUCGCCACCAAGCUGGGGACUGAGGAGAUUGUGGGCAAUGACCCCAAGACCAGGCAGAGCCUCUCUUCAGUGAUGCCAACCCUCCUGCAGCACAUGCAGCGUAAGCUCUAGACCACGUCCAACUGGAUCACUGGAAGAAAUGCUGCUAAGAGUCAUCGCAUGAAUGAUUCGGAGGAAAACUUCGCAGACCUCAGAUGCUGACUGAGGGGAAGAAUUGAAAGUAUGCAGUGAUGAGAAAUCCAAGAUCCUGCCCAGUGGACACCUCCAAAGGAGAGAGGUCAAAUCUUUCACUGAAGUGUGACCGAAGAAAGCCUAAACCUGAGGAAGGACGGAAAAGAACAACCAGGAAAUAGCACCACGUUCACAGCUGCGUGUGGGAACCCAGGGAAGCUGGAGGAAAAGCCUUUUGUGGACUCUCAGAGGACAAUUGCAAUGGCAGGUCCUAAACAGGAAGAACCAGAAAAACAGUUCCUAAAGCCCCAUUCAGUAGCUCUGGAGAAAAAUACCUAGAAGAUCUCAGAGCCUAAAGUCUUGAAAACAAAGAUGACAGCAGGAACAAUAGGCAGGUAUCAGUCUGAGGAUUCUGGUAGUCUGGGCCAGAAGCUAAGGAGACACCGUGAUAUGGGAUCAAAGUCUCUCCUGAAUCCUUGGGUGCCAGGUGGCGCCCCGGCCUUGGCGUUGGUUCCCCACAAUGAAAGAGGAGCCAAGCAAAUGAGUCAGAGGAAAACUAAACCUCAUAGGGGAUCCACUUCAAGUAACCCUAGCCAAAUUCCACCCAAGGCCAUCUUUCUCAAAGCAGUGUCACCACCAGGUGCUGCAGGUAUAGAUGCCCAAUUGGAUGCACAGGUAAGAACUUACCUGUCUGGAGCCUUUUCAGCAAAACCCAGGGAAACUUGUACCAUUUUAAGUUUAUAAGGCACUUUCAGGGCUUCUAGAAAGGUUUCUUUGAAGUACUAUUGGUGCCAUUUUCUUUCUCCUGUUCCUUCAUUCUUUUGGGUUUUCUUUCUAGUCCUUUAACUGUGAUAAAACACAUAUAACGUUUAUCAUUUUACCCACUUUUAGGUGUACAGUCAAUGUCACCUAAUAUGUUCACAAUGUUUUGCAAGUAUCACAUCACCGGUAUUUACUUUCAAAACUUUUUCAUGACCCCCAAUAGAAACCCUGUGCCCUGAACUGAGUACAGUGGUGCGUGCCUGUGGUUCCAGCACUUGGGAAGCUGAGGUAAAACGGUCGUGAAUGUGCGACCAGCCUGAGCUAUGUAGUGGGGCCCCGUCUCAAAGCACCAACAAAACAAAACAAACAAAUCAGCAGCGAUACCCCAUUCACAAUGGCCUGUAAUCUUCGUGUCUCUCUGAAUUUGCCUGCUCUGCCUGAGAUAAGUAAAACCAUGGAACAUUUUCUCUCUGUGUCUGACUAAUUUCCUUAGCAUUUUUUCAGGAUUUAUCCAUGUUGUAGCAGGUAUCAGAAUUUCAUUCCUUUUAAGAUUGCACAACAACAAAAAAGAGUGAACAAUAUUCCAUACUGUGGUGGACUGACUAAUGGUGAACUUGUAACACCCAGCUGAACUGAAGGCCCACCUGGGGGUUGUUGCCAACAGCAAAAAAGGAGAACUGGAAGGGAAGAUGUCACGAUGGCUCUCCCGAUAUGAACUCAGCUGUUCUCAUUACUAGAGGAGCUCAGGUCCUCGCUGUGGAACCACAGUACAGGAUGCCUGUGGUUCUCUUUGAGUGAACGCUGGCCCUUAUCUUGAGCAUUACUUCCUGGCUCCAGUGCGGAUCCCUCAGCUGCUGGCACAGAUAUUCCACCCCGCGGGUGCAGACUUUCUAGCUUCCACUACUGACCUUUGGGCCUUCCCAGUGCAGAUUCUUGAUACAGACUUGCAUGAGACAUUGGCAUAGGCUCUAGGCCUCCAGCUGGACUCAUGGAGGACAUUGCAAUGGGCUCAUGCAGGACUCAUGCAGGUGGUCAUCAUGGGAUGCAGGUCCUCAGCUGGAUGUUUUUUGGGUCUGUAGUGUGUGAAAAGAUCCCCUGCUCUCUUUUGCAUUUGACUCUUAGGGUGAAUAUUAUAAAAGAAUUCUAUAAAUUAUGUGUCUUAUAUGAAAUUGGUUCCCUUUAAAUGCUGAGUACAACACAUACUAUACAUGAGCCACAUUUUAUCUGUUGAUACAAGUUCAAAUCGUUUCCAGCUUUUGGUGACUAGUAAUAAUGUUGCUGUGAACCACACUGUAUAGGUAUCUCUUUGAGUUUCUACUUUCAAAUUUUGGGUACACCUCUAGCAAUGGAAUUACUGUCAUAUGUAAUUCUAUGUUUAACUCUUAGGAAUGGCCAAACCAUUCCCCAUGGCUGCACAUCUUACUUUCCCACUAACAAUGUACGAAUGUUCUGCUUUCUUCGUAUCUUCACCAACAUUUGUUAUAUUUGGUUUCCAACCUAAUGAAUGUGUGAUGUGGUACUUACUGUGCUUUUAUUUUGCAUUUCUCUGACUAGUGAUGUACAUCUUUUAUGUGCUUUGAGGCCCCCUGUGUAUCUUUAUGGAUAAACUUCUAUCUAGGUCCAUUGCCUACUUUUGCAUCAAGUUCAAACUACCAAAGAGGUUACUUCUUAUCUGUGCAUCAGAAGGAGCAUCUAUGGCUGCGGAGUCUGGUGGUAGCAACAUUUGGAGAGUUACUCAAUUUGUAGAAGUUUUUUGUAUAUUCUGGAUAUUGAUCCCUAUUCAGACACAUUAUCUGCAACUAUUUUAUCGCAUUCUAUGGUUAGUUUUUCACUCUCUUGAUGAUAUUGUUUUGUUUUCAGUACUAGGAAUUGAACUCAGGGCAUUCACACUAAGUUAUAUCCCAGCCCUUUUAAAAUUUUUUAAUUUUGAGAUGGGGCUCCCUCCCUCACCAAGUGGCCCAGACUGGGUUCAAACUUGUGAUCUUCCUGCUUCAGCCUCCCAGAGUACUGGGAUUAUGGGAUUGUACCACUACACCUUCUCUUUGAUGAUGUUUUUUUAACCACAAAAUUUUUAUUAUCAUCACUAUAGUUAUUAUUAUUUUGUCUGUUUGAGACAAGGUCUCACUAUAUAGUUCAGGCUGACCUCGAACUCACUUUGUAGCCUAGUCUGUUCUUGAACUCAAAAAUGAUUCUCCUGCCUCAGCCCUUUAAGUGCUGGGCUGGAGCACUGGUAUUACAGGAGUGCAUCACCACACCCAGCUCAAAAGCUUUUAAUUAUGAUGAAAUCAAACUUAUCUAUUUUUCUUUUGUUGUCUGUGAUUUUAGUGUCAUCUGCAAAAACUUACCACCUAAUACAAUGUUAUUUUUAAAACCUCCUACAUUUUCUUCUAAGAGUCCUAUAAAUUUAGGUCUUAUAUCUAGGGCAUUGAUCAUUUUGGGUUUUUAUAUAUAGUGUUAGAUAAGAAUCAACCGCAUUUUUGUGGGGAGUACUGGUGUUCAAACUCAUGACCUCAUGCUAGCAAGGCAGGCACUUACAUCGCUGAGCUAAAUCCUCAGCCCCCAACUGCAUUCUUUUGCAUAUAGAUAUCCUGUUUUUCAGGCUCCAUUUGUUUUUUGUUUGUUUGUUUGUUUUAUUUUGUGGUCUUUUUGAAACAGGGUCUCACUAUGCAGUUAGGCUGGACUUAAGCUCACUUUGUAGCCCAGCCUGGUCUUGAAUUUGCAACAAUCCUGCUGCGUCAGCCUCCCAAGUGCUGGAAUUACAGGCAUGCACCACCAUGCCCAGCUACAACGCUUCAUUUGUUGAAAAGACUAUUGUUGCCCAGGCACAGUAGGACAUGCUUACAACCCGAGCAUUUUGGGAGGCCGAAGCAGGAGGAUGGUGAGUUUGAGCUCAGUCUGGGUAAUUUAGUUACUUGGCAAGACUGCGUCUUAAAGUAAGAAACUUUAAAAAGGGCCAGGGAUGUAGCUGUUUGAUCGUUUAAACCUGAUGCAAAAGUGAACAAAGAUCCUGAAUUCAAUCCCCACUACCAAAGAGGAAAAAACACCCUUCCCCAGGCUUACUUUCUUUUAUAUUUGCAUCCUUUUGUCUCCCUGCUAAGUGAGAACAGAGGAUUUAGCUAAAUUUCUUUUUAAUAUAGCAUAUGGUAAAUAACACUUGUAAGCAACAUGUUAUACUUAAAUAUGUAAUGAAACUUGGUGACAAGAUGGCAAAUAUAAAUUCUACCUCAUUCUCAAUGCCCUGUUGCAUCCGCCUAGAUGAUUCCUAUCAAUGACCUGUUAGCAUGCACUGUCUAUAGUACCUGUCAGAGUAAUUGACUUACCUUUUCCUCCAACAACCAUGGAAGCAACUGACUCUUCAGGUACAUAAUUCUUGAGUUCUGUUCCACAACUUGGAGACUGAAGUAGGAGACAUCUGCAAAAUCCCCUCAUCACUGCGCGCCCACUGAGGAAUGCAGGGACCCAGAGCCAUGCCAAGGAAACCUUGCAGGGGCAGGAACCGUCCUUUCUCACCUCAGGUGGACAAUUCUGAGGUUGUGCCAUUUGGCCACUCAAGAGAGACAGCCCCAAUCUCUUACAAUAACCAGGGUGAGAACAGUGUAACAGAACAAGCUUAUAUUUGAAAAAGCUAAUAAAGUAAUCUUAGCAUCUGA